CGAACGCUGGCGGCGUGCUUAACACAUGCAAGUCGAACGGAAAGUGCUCUUCGGAGUGACUCGAGUGGCGAACGGGUGAGUAACACGUGGGUGAUCUGCCCUGCACUUUGGGAUAAGCCUGGGAAACUGGGUCUAAUACCGAAUAGGACCACGCGCUUCAUGGUGUGUGGUGGAAAGCUUUUGCGGUGUGGGAUGGGCCCGCGGCCUAUCAGCUUGUUGGUGGGGUAAUGGCCUACCAAGGCGACGACGGGUAGCCGGCCUGAGAGGGUGACCGGCCACACUGGGACUGAGAUACGGCCCAGACUCCUACGGGAGGCAGCAGUGGGGAAUAUUGCACAAUGGGCGCAAGCCUGAUGCAGCGACGCCGCGUGAGGGAUGACGGCCUUCGGGUUGUAAACCUCUUUCAACUAUGACGAAGCGCAAGUGACGGUAGUAGUAGAAGAAGGACCGGCCAACUACGUGCCAGCAGCCGCGGUAAUACGUAGGGUCCGAGCGUUGUCCGGAAUUACUGGGCGUAAAGAGCUCGUAGGUGGUUUGUCGCGUUGUUCGUGAAAACUCACAGCUUAACUGUGGGCGUGCGGGCGAUACGGGCAGACUGGAGUACUGCAGGGGAGACUGGAAUUCCUGGUGUAGCGGUGGAAUGCGCAGAUAUCAGGAGGAACACCGGUGGCGAAGGCGGGUCUCUGGGCAGUAACUGACGCUGAGGAGCGAAAGCGUGGGGAGCGAACAGGAUUAGAUACCCUGGUAGUCCACGCCGUAAACGGUGGGUACUAGGUGUGGGUUUCCUUCCUUGGGAUCCGUGCCGUAGCUAACGCAUUAAGUACCCCGCCUGGGGAGUACGGCCGCAAGGCUAAAACUCAAAGAAAUUGACGGGGGCCCGCACAAGCGGCGGAGCAUGUGAUUAAUUCGAUGCAACGCGAAGAAC
rnacentral:rRNA from 1 species